UCCACCUAAGCAAGCACACAGUGUGGACCGGGUUGUUAGGUAAUGUUGUACAAAGUUGAUAAUCCAGCAUUCUUAGAUUCUAAAUGCAGGUUAAGGGGCCAAUCAAAUUUAGCCAUUUUAGCAAUAUUAUUUGAAGAAAUGCAGAAAGGGAUUUAUAAUUCAAAAGUGGUCUCAGAGACAACUUGGGAUAUGGGAAGGAAGAGAAAAAUAUCUUCUACAAAAGAUCUUGUUUCCAUAUCUAAGUGCUUAUGGAGGGGAAGUUCUAGUGGUGACAGAUACGAUAGACUCCUCUAGCAUUCCUGAAUUUUAACUUCACGCAAAGCCCAAAGGAUCUCUCUUUAAAUAAAAUGAAGAAAGUUCAGGUAUAUAACAUCCAUCACCCUGGCCUUUGAUAGAAAAUUUGUGUUCCUGUCAAUUCAAAAUCAUAAUAAAUCUCAGAAGUCUGGAAAUAACCCCGACCUCAUUAGGGCUCAAACACACAUGGGAGGAGCAAGAUCGGCCCAGAGGAACUGACUUUCUCAUCAUCUCAGAGCCAUACAGAUGAACACUGAAGAGAAGAAACAAGUUGCCGGCAGUGGUUAAUCAGCUGACUAGGCUUUUGUAAGAGGAAACAGCACUGUGAACUUCACAGCCCAGUGAAUGACAGAGUAUGAUGACGGGUCCCCGACACUUCAUCAACCAUGGAGCCUCUCCCAUCCUCUCUCUGUACGCAUGUCACUUCACGUCUCCAUGGCUGCCAGGCUCCUGGACUCCAUUUUUUCAUGUGCCACUCUCACCACCUCCUGGUUUUCCAUCUUUCCCUUUCCUUCUUUCCUCUCCAUCUCUGUCCCUAACCUUUUACCUUCUUAAUGUGGGGUCACGAUGUGGAACUGAAAGGUUUUUAAAAGCAGUGUCACUUGAAAAAUGUUUUUGGAUAAA